CCAUAUCAAUAAGCGGAGGAAAAGAAACCACAGGGAUUGCUCUAGUAACGGCGAGUGAAGCAGCAAUAGCUCAAAUUUGAAAUCUGGCGUCUUCGGCGUCCGAGUUGUAAUUUGUAGAGGAUGCUUCUGAGUAACCACCGACCUAAGUUCCUUGGAACAGGACGUCAUAGAGGGUGAGAAUCCCGUAUGCGGUCGGAAAGGUGCUCUACACUUAGCUCCUUCGACGAGUCGAGUUGUUUGGGAAUGCAGCUCUAAAUGGGAGGUAAAUUUCUUCUAAAGCUAAAUAUUGGCCAGAGACCGAUAGCGCACAAGUAGAGUGAUCGAAAGAUGAAAAGCACUUUGGAAAGAGAGUUAAAAAGCACGUGAAAUUGUUAAAAGGGAAGGGAUUGCAACCAGACUUGCUCGCGGUGUUCCGCCGGUCUUCUGACCGGUCUACUCGCCGCGUUGCAGGCCAGCAUCGUCUGGUGCCGCUGGAUAAGACUUGAGGAAUGUAGCUCCCUCGGGAGUGUUAUAGCCUCUUGUGAUGCAGCGAGCGCCGGGCGAGGUCCGCGCUUCGGCUAGGAUGCUGGCGUAAUGGUCGUAAUCCGCCCGUCUUGAAACACGGACCAAGGAGUCUAACAUCUAUGCGAGUGUUCGGGUGUCAAACCCCUACGCGUAAUGAAAGUGAACGGAGGUGAGAACCGCAAGGUGCAUCAUCGACCGAUCCUGAUGUCUUCGGAUGGAUUUGAGUAUGAGCAUAGCUGUUGGGACCCGAAAGAUGGUGAACUAUGCCUGAAUAGGGUGAAGCCAGAGGAAACUCUGGUGGAGGCUCGCAGCGGUUCUGACGUGCAAAUCGAUCGUCAAAUUUGGGUAUAGGGGCGAAAGACUAAUCGAACCAUCUAGUAGCUGGUUCCUGCCGAAGUUCCC
rnacentral:rRNA from 1 species